rnacentral:tRNA from 1 species
ACAGGUAAAUUUUACAGGUCUUCUAAACUUGUUUUAGUGGAAACACUGUUUACUUGUU